rnacentral:lncRNA from 1 species
CAUCCACCUAUGAAACUAAUACUCACACUACUCUACAGCCACCCCACAACCCCCGACAAACCACCACGAAACUAGAAGACCCGUUUGAACCUGGUUAGACCAAAAACAGCCUUCCCCUCUACUAUAGAUUCACUACUUUUUGUUGCCUAUCCAUUAGAAGCAUCGAAACCCACCAUCACCGUCACCCUCAUUAUUCCGAAGAAGCUGAAAACGGACGCAGAACCAUGAUCACGUCAACCGAAUCCAUUCUUUCAUCACCAUCCGACCAUUUCUAAACCAUCGCAGUUGACGAUAUUUCUCCGGAAACUCUUCAAUUAAUCCGAUCUGCUAUUUAUCUCAAAUUAAGGGAUUAUGACAUAAUUCACUAUUUUGGAUUUGUGGUCAUCGCUUUGGAAAGUUUAAGAUGCCUCCUCGUCGUCAGCCCCGUAGGACUCCUUGCCUAACCAUGUACGUUGAUAGACGAAGUGAUGAAGAAAUCAAGUUAGGGUGGACUAGAAACUCACCUAGAAAAUAAACUAUGUUUGAAAUUUGAUUUAUGUUUUGACUUAAUCAAGAUUGUCACAAAUAGUGUUAUGUUGUUUUGAGCAAUUUAGUCGUCUCAUCCCGAUGUUUCCGCCAUCGGUUGGGGUGUGACACCUAUCCAUUAGAAGCAUCGAAACCCACCAUCACCGUCACCCUCAUUAUUCCGAAGAAACUGAAAACGGACGCAGAACCAUGAUCACGUCAACCGAAUCCAUUCUUUCAUCACCAUCCGACCAUU